CCUACGGGAGGCAGCAGUGAGGAAUAUUGGUCAAUGGGCGGAAGCCUGAACCAGCCAAGUAGCGUGCAGGAUGACGGCCCUACGGGUUGUAAACUGCUUUUAUACGGGAAUAACGCGCCUUACGUGUAGGGCUUUUCAUGUACCGUAUGAAUAAGGACCGGCUAAUUCCUUGCCAGCAGCCGCGGUAAAACGGAAGGUCCGGGCGUUAUCCGGAUUUGUUGGGGUUUAAGGGAGCGUAGGCCGCGUGUCAAGCUUGCUGUGAAAGGUCCGUGCUAAACCGGGGACUUUCAACGCAAACUGGCGUGGUGGGGACCGAUGAAAGCAGGGGGAAUUCGUGGUUUAGCGGUGAAAUGCUUGGAUAUGACAAAGAACCCCGAUUGCGAAGGCAGCUUGCUGCAGCGGAAC
rnacentral:rRNA from 1 species